rnacentral:rRNA from 1 species
GACGAACGCUGGCGGCGUGCCUAAUACAUGCAAGUAGAACGCACAGUUUAUACCGUAGCUUGCUACACCAUAGACUGUGAGUUGCGAACGGGUGAGUAACGCGUAGGUAACCUGCCUGGUAGCGGGGGAUAACUAUUGGAAACGAUAGCUAAUACCGCAUAAUAUUGAUUAUUGCAUGAUAAUUGAUUGAAAGAUGCUAUUGCAUCACUACCAGAUGGACCUGCGUUGUAUUAGCUAGUAGGUGAGGUAACGGCUCACCUAGGCGACGAUACAUAGCCGACCGGAGAGGGUGAUCGGCCACACUGGGACGGAGACACGGCCCAGACUCCUACGGGAGGCAGCAGUAGUGAAUCUUCGGCAAGGGACGAAAGUCUGACCGAGCAACGCCGCGUGAGUGAAGAAGGUUUUCGGAUCGUAAAGCUCUGUUGUAAGAGAAGAACGGGUGUGAGAGUGGAAAGUUCACACUGUGACGGUAUCUGACCAGAAAGGGACGGCUAACUACGUG